GGAAAAGAAACCAACAGGGAUUGCCUUAGUAGCGGCGAGUGAAGCGGCAAAAGCUCAAAUUUGAAAUCUGGCACUUUCAGUGUCCGAGUUGUAAUUUGAAGAAGGUAUCUUUGGGUCUGGCUCUUGUCUAUGUUUCUUGGAACAGAACGUCACAGAGGGUGAGAAUCCCGUGCGAUGAGAUGUCCCAGACCUAUGUAAAGUUCCUUCGAAGAGUCGAGUUGUUUGGGAAUGCAGCUCUAAGUGGGUGGUAAAUUCCAUCUAAAGCUAAAUAUUGGCGAGAGACCGAUAGCGAACAAGUACAGUGAUGGAAAGAUGAAAAGAACUUUGAAAAGAGAGUGAAAAAGUACGUGAAAUUGUUGAAAGGGAAGGGCUUGAGAUCAGACUUGGUAUUUUGUAUGUUACUCUCUCGGGGGUGGCCUCUACAGUUUACCGGGCCAGCAUCAGUUUGGGCGGUAGGACAAUUGCAAAGAAAUGUGGCACUGCCUCGGUAGUGUGUUAUAGUCUUUGUCGAUACUGCCAGCCUAGACUGAGGACUGCGGCUUCGGCCUAGGAUGUUGGCAUAAUGAUCUUAAGUCGCCC
rnacentral:rRNA from 1 species